rnacentral:rRNA from 1 species
GUAGGGAAUCUUCCACAAUGGGCGAAAGCCUGAUGGAGCAACGCCGCGUGUGUGAUGAAGGCUUUCGGGUCGUAAAGCACUGUUGUAUGGGAAGAACAGCUAGAAUAGGAAAUGAUUUUAGUUUGACGGUACCAUACCAGAAAGGGACGGCUAAAUACGUGCCAGCAGCCGCGGUAAUACGUAUGUCCCGAGCGUUAUCCGGAUUUAUUGGGCGUAAAGCGAGCGCAGACGGUUUAUUAAGUCUGAUGUGAAAGCCCGGAGCUCAACUCCGGAAUGGCAUUGGAAACUGGUUAACUUGAGUGCAGUAGAGGUAAGUGGAACUCCAUGUGUAGCGGUGGAAUGCGUAGAUAUAUGGAAGAACACCAGUGGCGAAGGCGGCUUACUGGACUGCAACUGACGUUGAGGCUCGAAAGUGUGGGUAGCAAACAGGAUUAGAUACCCCUGUAGUCC